GCAUUGCUGAAGAGUCCCACAAUAGGACGAAAGGGAGGUCCAGUGC
rfam:Schistosoma margrebowiei strain Zambia genome assembly, scaffold: SMRZ_scaffold0000423